UAGGCGCUCCCAUUCUGCCUUCUCUUCCUGUUUCCCCGCUUUACCUCUCACACGUGAGUCUGCUGUCUGAGCAGAUCUUUGGCAAGAAGAGUCUCCUGUUCAAGAUGCUCUCAGUGACUGCGGGGUUGGCUUAAAACACCCUCAUUUGGUUUCACUAAGGGGAGAGGACUUUUAUGACGCUUUACUCUUAUCACAGGCCAGUCAUUGAAAGCUGUAUGUCCAAUCACUCAUUGCAGACGUGAAGGUUGCCAAUAAGCAUUAAAUCGAAAAGAGGUGAGCCCGGCUGUGAAAAGUUGGUCAUCCAACCGAUGUUGCCGCUGUCGGGUGGAAAUGAAUACUCGAUCAUCAAUCUAAGGAUGUCGUCUUGGUGACAGCAUUUUCACUAAGCAGUUUUCCCUUGUUGAGCCAUACAAAUUUUACUGCUUCCUGUUACAUGGAGUAAUUUGAACUAUAAAUUCUGGACAGUGAUGCGAUCCUACCAACCUUGGCUGCUUGAGGAUUUCGUUGCUUCUUAGAUGUGGAACGAACACCUUUGGGGGAUCAUCUUUGACCAUUUCAGUGUGACCUUUUAGGAUGAAAAGCUUGCCAUCCUAUCUAUAUUUGUGAAGUCUUUGGUUGGAAAAGGGCUUCUCCAGAUUUUAAAUUUGUGAUAAAGGCAAUUUUAAAUAAACUUUUGCAAUGGG